AGCUCCAAUAGCGUAUAUUAAAGUUGUUGCAGUUAAAAAGCUCGUAGUUGGAUUUCUGGUCUGAUGCCCUGGCCCGCCGCAAUUUCGUGGUGUGUGCCGGCUGUGCGUCUACCAUCCUUCCAGAGAACGUUCCUACCCUUCAUUGGGCCGGGUUCGGGAUCUGGAUCAUUUACUUUGAAAAAAUUAGAGUGUUUAAAGCAGGCUUUUGCUAUGAAUACAUUAGCAUGGAAUAAUAACUUAGGACUUCGGUUCUAUUUUGUUGGUUUCUAGAACUGAAGUAAUGAUUGAUAGGGAUCGUUGGGGGUGCUAGUAUUGAGCGGCCAGAGGUGAAAUUCUUGGAUUCGCUCAAGACUAACUUAUGCGAAAGCAUUCACCAAGGAGGUCUUCUUUAAUCAAGAAC
rnacentral:rRNA from 1 species